CAAAACUGUAUCAAAAGACAAUCAGUUGAACCAAUUAACUAAUUUGGAAUUAAAUGUACACAGACUCACACCGAGUUUCAAACCAUCACUUUGAAUAUACAGUUGUUAAGCGUGCUGGAUAACAACGUAAAUGACGAUUAAACACUGUGGGCCCACAUAAGAUUUUAAGAUUUGUAAACUUGUAAAUCAUUCACCACUCCAUUACCGCAUACAGCGCGUCUCUCUCAUAGCUUGCAUAUCGCCCGCCUUGUCAAUCAACCCCCACAAACAGCCACUCAAAAUACAUAACGCAUAGGCGCGGGCGGGACUUAACUCUCUUGAGCCAAUAAAAUAAUGAAAGACCUAACUUUCGUAGGUUAAAACCACAUUUUUCACAUGUGCAUAACACUCUAACUUGAUAUAUGUUCUUAAAGGCAUACAUCCACUUAUUUUAUAUAUCAAUAUAUAAAGAAGUAAACUCAUUACCUGUAGAAUAGUUCUGCUGGGUUACAUAUAAAUGUUUACACAACAUACAGUAUAAAUGUAAAAGUACAUAUAUUAUAAACAGUCUCAUCAUGUCUGACGUGUCUUUCUCUGUCCUUCUAGAUGGCAGUUUUCUUUGGUCAUUCAGUAGCAUUAGUUAUGGUAAUGUCACAUUAAGGACAGGUGAGUGAUGCUCUAUACUCUGUUAAAUGUUUUCUUCACUGAAGGGAGGUUGAUGAUUUCUACACACAGAGACAAGUUUCCUCUUCUAAACUCAUUGACAGCCUAUUCAUUGAACAUUCUAUUCAUGACUGGUUGAUCACAAUUCUGGAAAGUUGCAGGUCGAUAUCAUGUUCAAAACUGAGAGCUGAAUCAACAUUGUGUGUCAAGAUCACAGACAUUCAAUCAAAAAUUUUAAUUCUGUCCUUUUACAGAGGUUUAGAACAAGAAGCGAUUUAUCUUAUAUUACACACAUAAUAUAAUAUAUGUAAUUACUGGUAUUCAAAUUUGGUGGCUGAAGAAAGAAUGCAGCCUUGUCGUAUACCUUUACUAAUUUGAACCCAUUCUACACACUGCAGCCAUGGAUGAAGACAGGCUCUUCCUGCUGACACAGAGGAGCCAGACGCACGUUCACUAACGACACUGAGGCUGCUGGACAGAUGUCGGGAAAGACAGCAGCGUUCUUCAAGUAGCACUUUUCCAAACCAUUGGGUCUUUGAGCUUUAGAGAUGCAGCUGUAAGUGUGAUCCAAACUGAUUAAGUUACAGCUGCCAGCUGUGAAAGCUCACAGGAGUCUGGAAUGAAAGAGACGCCCUCCACCAAGAAUCCCCUCAGACACCAAGGAUGAACAGAAACUUGAGGUCAUCAGCAACAUGAAGAAACUCAAAGUUGUGAACAAGAAACAUUGAGCGUUUGGAAAGAAGAAAGCAAAGACACAUUGAAGGUCAUGACACCAUCCUGUUUUGGAGUAUUCAAUCUCCACUCUCUGGUUGUUUUGGAGAGCCACACAUAAUGAGCUCGGUUGUACUGUACAUCGGCAUGACUGCACUUAACUGGAUCCAAGGGCAGCUUGAAGGAUCCGCCUCCAGAGGAAGAAACAGCCCUGAGGUAAAACAGAUGCAGAGGGGGCUGGUCAUCCAUCCUGCAGCAGGCAGGCUCCCAUCGAGCUGUUCUCAUCUCCAGGUGAACGCUAUAGUGGAGCUGAUAGUGCCUCAGACACAGUCAAGGACUCUGCUGGCCUUGCACUUAUCUCAAGUUGCUAUUCAGGAGAAGUGCUUGUGUGCAGUGAUACACGUAGAACAAAGACAAGAGUCGACCAGGUCAAAAGCAUAUAACAUUUUGAAUCUGUCUGAGACUCUUCUCCAGAGUGGAAGUGCUAUACUUGGCUUGCAGGAUAACCGACGAUUAAAACAAGUAAAAAGAAGAAACAGAGACCAACCAGCUGUGCAUCUCCUCCUCGAACAAAGGACUUUGGUGGAGUAUUGGGUUGAGUGCUCCUGCACAGCACUUCCCCUCUCACAGUCUGUGAGCCAGAGGCAGCCACCGAAUCCAUCCUGGAGCCAUGAUAUCAGUCCCAGAGUCUACCCAUGCUGCCCAGUCUAUCCCAGAGCCAGGAGAGGACCACUGAUAUUGCUCAUUGUUAGUUUAUGUUAUCCAAUUAACUAUUGUAAGUAAUCUUAUUAUAAAGUGUUACUGAACUACUUCUGCCAGUGUUUUUUUCUUUUUUUUAUUGGCCAGCUAGUGGAUUGUCAGAUCAUUUUUUUUUAAUACUUUCAUAUUCUGUAAAUACUUUGAGUGAGACUUGAAUGUCGUUCAAUCAGUGCCCACUUGAAUAAGCACUGCCAUUUUGUAACUAUUUUGAGGUAUCAAUCUAUAUAGUGCGGCUCAGAAAAAGACCCAGAAGCCUGCUUCAUAUCUGUGCUGAUGGAUGCCUCUAAACCAGAGACAAAUGAAAGGAUGACUUGUGUUUUAAUGUGCAGAGAUAUAUGGGAGCUCUGGGAGAGCGAGAGACGGAGACAAAGCAGCAGUCUUCUUGAAGGCAAUGUCACCAUGGUUAAUGCACAUUAGUACGCCAACCGACAAAGCCUCUGACAUUCAUUGAUAAGGCACAGAUGCCUGAGGGAAACUGAUGGAAUGUGAAUGUGUCUAAAAUUGAACCGAGGGUUAUGGCGUGUAUCUUGGCAGAAAAACUUUUUUCUCAUCUUGAGUGAAGGACACAGUCAACCCACCCAUAGUAAUGCCUCCUACUAAAAUCAAAAGCAUUGGCUGAAUGACUGUGGCAGGACGAAAGACAGGAAGUGUCAUGCACAUUUUUGAGCCAAGUGUAUUUUAAAUGCAACUUCUGAAAUAUAUAUAUAUUACCAUUAGUCAGGUUUUAUGAUUACAUUUGCAUGUUUAAAUCUUAUAAACAUUGUGGCAGAAAUUACUUAUUCUCAUUCUCAUGACUGCCCUCAUGACUUUUUUAAAUUGAAAUUAAUUAUUAGAUCCUUUCAUAUGGAACUCAAUGCUGUGUCAGUUGCUGACGCUACGGGAAUGCAUUCAGUGUGUGCCAGUGUCUGAAUCACGUGUGAAAUUACAUCAAUUGAAUUGGCUAUAGCAGUCGCAUGACAUCGCUGGCACACCAGCAUGUCUAUAAAAGAGUGUCUGCAUAAAACAUAAUCAGAUUCUUUGUCUUCAGGAAGCCGCUUUGUUUGUUGUUUUCGUGUGAAAAGAUAGGAAUUUUUUUGUUUGUCUUUAGAAUUCAAAUAUAUGAUUGCAAGCAGUAAAAGUAAAGUUUUUAGAACUUGUGCUUCGCCAUGUCCCCAUUUUAUUAUGGGAGAUGACACACACAAGCUCUGUGUCAUUUGUUUGGGAACAAAGCAUGCUCGGUCAUCUGGUUGCACUCUCUGUGAUUGCAUAACAUUGAAGAAGCUCCGCUCCCACCUGGCUCUCUUCAUGGGGAAUGGUAGUUGCACCUCACGACUUGUGGGUUAAGCUCAUGACCCGCUCCACAACUAGACUCAGUCUAGACUAGACUAAGUCACUCCAACUAGACUCAAUGAGCGUUUCCUGGCAGGUAAUUGACACUUUGCCCUCGUGAGCUGUGGUAAGUUCUGUGCCUCUAUAGGU